rnacentral:rRNA from 2 species
UACAGAGGUCCCGAGCGUUGUUCGGAUUCACUGGGCGUAAAGGGUGCGUAGGUGGCUUUGCAAGUCUGAUGUGAAAUCUCCGGGCUUAACCCGGAAAUGGCAUUAGAAACUGUGAGGCUUGAGGCUUGGAGGGGGAACUGGAAUUCUCGGUGUAGCAGUGAAAUGCGUAGAGAUCGAGAGGAACACCAGUGGCGAAGGCGAGUUCCUGGACAAGUCCUGACACUGAGGCACGAAAGCCGGGGGAGCAAACAGG